UACGUAGGUGGCAAGCGUUGUCCGGAUUUAUUGGGUUUAAAGGGUGCGUAGGCGGCUUUGUAAGUCAGUGGUGAAAUAUGGCAUCUUAACUGUCAGGGUGCCAUUGAUACUGCAGAGCUUGAAUACAGAUGAGGUAGGCGGAAUUGACGGUGUAGCGGUGAAAUGCUUAGAUAUCGUCAAGAACACCUAUAGCGAAGGCAGCUUACUAGGCUGUAACUGACGCUGAGGCACGAAAGUGUGGGGAUCAAACAGG
rnacentral:rRNA from 1 species